rnacentral:lncRNA from 1 species
GUGUCCUCAAAUUCUGAUUUGCAGGAAACAUGCAUCAAAUUCUCACAGAAACCUUUGGAGAAUACUUUAGGAAGGAUUUUAAUUGCUGCAGACAGCAACAGAUAUGAAAACUAUCAGAAAGCUAAUGAUUCCUCAAUCUACCAUCUUAGAUCAGAAGUUGAAGAAGAAUCAGUGAAAAAGUUCUCCAGAACUGUGGUUGGUAUAAAAAUUGGGAAUGGUAUAUUUUCAUUGUAAUUCCUACUAUUCCCUUUGGCUUGCUUUCCACUAUUGAGGUUUAAAAAAAAACU